rnacentral:rRNA from 1 species
AGCGAACGCUGGCGGCAGGCUUAACACAUGCAAGUCGAGCGGGCACUUUCGGGUGUCCGCGGCGGACGGGUGAGUAACGCGUGGGAACGUGCCCUCUGGUUCGGAAUAACUCAGGGAAACUUGAGCUAAUACCGGAUACGCCCUUUUGGGGAAAGGCUUGCUGCCGGAGGAUCGGCUCGCGUCUGAUUAGCUAGUUGGUGAGGUAACGGCUCACCAAGGCGACGAUCAGUAGCUGGUCUGAGAGGAUGAUCAGCCACACUGGGACUGAGACACGGCCCAGACUCCUACGGGAGGGAGCAGUGGGGAAUAUUGGACAAUGGGCGCAAGCCUGAUCCAGCCAUGCCGCGUGAGUGAUGAAGGCCUUAGGGUUGUAAAGCUCUUUUAUCCGGGACGAUAAUGACGGUACCGGAGGAAUAAGCCCCGGCUAACUUCGUG